UAAUAAUAAUAAUAAUAAUAAUAAUAAUAAUAACUAGAUUGCAGUUCCUACAGAAACUGCGAGUGUGAUUGCAGAGCUGGCUGGUAUCUGCUAUGGUGUUGCUAAGGUGUUGCUAAGUGGUUGCUAAGGUGUUGCUAUCGUAUCCAGGGUGGUUGCUAAGGUGUUGCUAAGUGGUUGCUAGGUGGUUGCUAAGGUGUUGCUAGGUGGUUGCUAAGGUGUUGCAAUGGUAUCCGGGGUGGUUGCUAAGGUGUUGCUAGAUGGUUGCUAGGCGGUUGCUAAGGUGUUGCUAUGGUAUCCGGGGUGGUUGCUAAGGUGUUGCUAGGUGGUUGCUAAGGUGUUGCUAUGGUAUCCGGGGUGGUUGCUAAGGUGUUGCUAGGUGGUUGCUAGGGUGUUGCUAGGCGGUUGCUAAGGUGUUGCUAUGGUAUCCGGGGUGGUUGCUAAGGUGUUGCUAGGUGGUUGCUAAGGUGUUGCUAUGGUAUCCGGGGUCGUUGCUAAGGUGUUGCUAGGUGGUUGCUAGGGUGUUGCUAGGCGGUUGCUAAGGUGUUGCUAUGGUAUCCGGGAUGGUUGCUAAGGUGUUGCUAGGUGGUUGCUAGGUGGUUGCUAGGGUGUUGCUAGGCGGUUGCUAAGGUGUUGCUAUGGUAUCCGGGGUGGUUGCUAAGGUGUUGCAAGGUGGUUGCUAGGGUGUUGCUAGGCAGUUGCUAAGGUGUUGCUAUGGUAUCCGGGGUGGUUGCUAAGGUGUUGCUAGGUGGUUGCUAGGUGGUUGCUAGGGUGUUGCUAGGCGG